CGGUGGUUUUUAUUUACCUAGGACAGUAGUCCCUCCCCCCUCUUGACCAUCUAACCAGUAACCACCACAAUGAAAAAAGAUUUCACAGAUGAAUUGGAGAGCCACUAUUAUUAUGUCAUAUAAUCAAGGCAAGAUUCUGAAACGCAACUGAAAAAGAUGAAGUUUCCCAACAGCCUUCUGGAGGAUAAAAGCCAGCAGGCAACACACGGGUUCUUCUUGCGAUUGCAUCAUAAGAGGAAAUCUGUAUAUUCAUCCCAGAUUUCUAAAAGAGCUAUGAAGUUCCAGCUCACAACUCAUCCCUUUCAAGGCAGGUGCCGGGUGUGACAACAGGGUUAUGACCCUCCCUCUCAUCAGAACAGCUUAGUGCUAAGCCGGGGAAUGAGACCAACAAGGCCAGUGCUGUUGAGGGCUGCUUGAAGCUACAGGUCUUUCAGGGCCCAGAUGGCUUUCCUGGCCUACCGUGCACUCCCGCUAAAACUAGGAGCUCCGCAGCCAUGGCCUUUCCCAGAGAGACACUUAACUGGUGCCAUUUUUAUGAGGGAUAAUAAGACCGAUAUCAUUGCUGGUAUGUUGGUUCCAAGGUCCUUUCAUCUCCUACGCCUCAUCUGAUGUAGAGGACAGUCAGGAGUCGUCUAGAUGCUUAUCAUCAUGGUGUUCCCGAGGAACCACCGGAGCCGGAAUCGAUGGCUUUCAUUGAGCAGUCCUUUCAUGAGUCAAGUCCCCAUAAUUCAAGUCCCCACAGGCUGAGGAUCACGAGGCAAGACAUUACAUAUCCCAGGCUGGUCUCAAGCUUGUUGCAUGGCUGAAGAGGACCUUGACUUUCGGAUCUGCAAACUUCCACUUCUUAAGUGCUAGGAUUAUAGGAUCUCACUCUGUAGCCCAGCAUGCUUUUGAAUCUGGGAUGUUUUCUCUGCCCCAGUCUCCCAUAUGAAGAAGGCAGCCCUGAGACCUCCUCACAUUUAACAUUUUUACAACUGGAGGAGAGAGUGAUGGAGGAGUCUCCAGGACAUGAUGGCCAGACGCCCCACAUCUAGAAUAGCAGCCUGCAAAGGAGGUAAACAUGUCCUCAUCAGAAUAGAGGAUACUGCUUCUCCGGGAUGGAUCUCUCCUUCUCUCGGGCCUGCAAGCCAAGAUAUAGUUUCCACUGGAGGCAGCAUCCCAUCAGCCUCACAUUGGACGAGCCGACAGAGUUCUUUUGAGGCUACUGGUGUUCAACCACACAGCUAGACUUAGUCCAUAGAUAUACUUGGACUUGGAAACAUUGUCACCCUCUUGCAUGGAUCAAGCUGUUUCUGCACUUUGGCCUUCUAGCCACCUGCCCCUGUUAACUUCAGAUAAACCUUGAGAGCAUCCUGUAGGACACGUGACCUCACUGAAGGAGAACCAGAGCCCAAAGGAGAAGGGCUGGUGUUGGAAGGCAGUGCUAUAGGGACAAGGCAGUAAGGAACUGAGAAGAGGGCACACACAUCGGCCUAAAAUCACUCGGCCUAAAUUCUGGUUAUUAAGAAUUGGAUCCAAUUCAGCGAUACACACUAUCUAUAUUCCUAACCAGUAUUAGUAGCUGGAGAAGCUCCAUUUCUCAUCUUCACCCCCCACCCCCAUCUUCUGGUCAGAAGCAGUCGGGACUGGGAUUGGAGGUGAUGUAAUGUCAGGGGUUCAGGCUUCUUGUGCUGUGUGGCUCUUCUCAAGGUCACCUCACUGUCCAAGAUGCUUGCUUGAGGUCCAGCCUCAAGCCACAUCCUAGGAGGCAGGAAAAGAGAAAGGCAGAAGCAAGGGAGGGCACACUUGGAACACAUUUCCUAGAGUUCUUUACGCCUGUUCUAAAUACAUCCCGUUGCUUAGAACUUAGUGGCAUGGCUAGAUAUGGCAGCAAGAAAGGCUGUAAUCUACUCUGGAUGGCAGUAAAUUCAGUCAGUAUAGGGGGUUCCUGAGAGGAGGGAAGUCCCGGAAUGGAGGGCGAUUUGUAUAUGUGAACUCUUUCCUCUGUCCCACUUUAGAGUCACAGGGCCAGGUCCUACUUUUAAUUUAAUUUUGUCUUUUGCAUUUUUCUUUUCUUUUGAGACAACAUUUUGCUAUGUGGCUCAAGCUGCCCCUCAAACUCACGAUCCUCCUGCCUCAGACUCCUGCCUACUGGUAUUACCAGCCUCAAUUCAAGUCUGUGUGUUUUGUGUCUUUCAUUCAGUGCUGAAGCGAGAGCUCAGGACCUCACACACACCAGGGAAGUAUUCUACCGUUGAGCUGUGUGCUCAGUCCCCAGUUUAAAGAACUCUGAAAGUGAGUGGCUUGCUCAAGUCAGAGUUUGUAAUUAGAGGAGUUGGAAUUUGAACUCACAUUUGUCUGUCAUAUCAAACCUGAGGGGUUCACAUCAUGUGCUUUAAACAAUGACUAGUUUGUUUUAAUUACAUAAAAUAUUAGGCUUUGGCUCAGUGAGACGGCUCAUCAGGUAGAAACACUUACCACCAAGCUGGGUGACCUGAGUUUAUCCUUGGAACCUACAUAGUGGAAGAAGAGAACCAACUCCUGCAAACUGACUUCCACAUGCUCUGUAUUAUAUGUGAGACCCAACAUACACAUAUAUAUUCACACACACACACACACACACACACACACACACACACACACACACACACACUCACACACACAUACACUCACACAUACACACAUACUACACACACACACACAACUGUAACAAAAAUAGGCUUUAUGCAUGCACAUAAGAUACUUUGAUAAUAUUCUCUCUACUGCAUCAAUCCCCUUUUCUCCCCCUACUUCCUUCCUCUGGUCUAGUUCCUGUUCCCCAAAUAGCCCCCCUUUUAUUUAAUAAAGACCUGCCUUUUGACUGAAGUGUGUUUUCCUGUAUCUUCUGGUAUGCAAGAAGUGUUUGUGCUUAGAGAAUACCAGAUGAUACCAUUCACAUGCACUUGACCAUUGGGCAGGUGUGUGCACAAGUGUGCCUGCCAUCUGUCUGCGUGCCAGGCCUCCAGUUACUCGGUUUUCUGUGCAUGUCCUAUGUUCCCACAGCAGAGCAAAUGCUGCCUACAUUGUGUCAGGUGAAUAAACUGAAGAAUGAAGACUAGACCAAGAUCAUUUGUCACUCUGGGCUUUCUUAAGAGUCUUCUAUGUCCCUAGAGUCAGGCCUUUCUGUAUGUCCUAGACAUACCAGCUGCAGCAAGCAGGCCCUGCUGUGUAUCUGCUCUCAUCCAGGUAACCUGCUUGACUGUAGGAAUCCAAGAGCAGAAGAUCCUGUUAAGUUUUAAAGAGUGCACACACUACUGCUGUCUGCACAUAACGAUUCAUAAUCCUCAUAACCUUUGAUGUGAGUUUUGUGGGAGAUGAUAUUCCCAUUUUAGAGAGGGGAGAUUGACCUAGUUAAUAAACAGUGGUGCCAGGAAGCUGGCUUGGCCUGCUAGACUGCAGGGUUUUUUGGUUUUUUUUGUUUUUGUUUUUGUUUUUUGUUUUUUGUUUUUUUUUUUAACCUGGGCAUCAUUCAUCCAUUUUUUGUUCAGUCCUUUCAGAGGGGACAAGGACAGGAGCAAUUGCUUAGCAUUAAGGAAGAGUCAGGAGCUGGGUGAAGGACAGUUAGAAACUUGGUUUGAUGGGGUUACAUGUUACCCAGGUAUUCCCUUUUAUCUUCCUGACCCCCAGUAUUGGUGCACCCAUGUCCCCACUCCCCCGACCCCCAGGCUUCUGUUCAUGUUUCUCUUGAAGACUAGGUCACCAUCUCAUGGAAAUUCUUGGUGCCUUACUCCAGGUGCUUAGGCCUUCCAUCCCUAACCACCUUGGCUAUGGGCCACAUGAAGAGGAUGUUCCCAGGCCCAGAAAGGCCAAAUGAUACUCAGCCUGGCUUGGAGGGAGUGUCAGGGCUCACCGGGUUAACCAUGCCCCUGACUUCUUGGUCCUACAGCUCUCUAGGGCUAUGAACCUUCUAGCUCACUUCAGUAUGCACCCCAGAGGCAGCCAUUUGACUUGAGGCUGCUCUUUGUGUUGCCGAGGGUUUUUAUGUUAUGUUUUUUAUUACUGCUGACCAUGACAAUCCCAGGAGGAUGACCCACAGUGACAGCAAACUUCACAGCUCAGAGGACGGAGACCUUCCAGAGAGGGAGGGGCCCCAGGUCUCCUCUGGGGCCACUUAUCUAAUCACACGGUUUCUGGCACUACUCCAAGCCAGACCCCUUUCAUGGACCCAUGCUCCAUGCCAGGCCCCAUGCUCCCUACUCCCUGCUCAGGCCCAAUCAUGCUGGCUUCCUGUGCCUCUCUGGAUCCUGAUACCACCCAGAGCCUUUGCUUCAGGGAAUCAGACUCUCCCAUAGCUCCAUGACUGAGGUUUCUGGCCAUUCAGACCUCAGCUUAAUGUCCUCUCUACCAUACCAUGGGUCUUUUGCAUAUAUGUUUAAAAGUGGUACUUCCCCUACCCUUGAAAGCUGUGAACAUGUGGAGGGAGGAAAGGAGCUUAGAAUUGUAGAUAGAACAGGUCUGGGUGAUGUUUUACCUUCCUACCCACCCCAACCCCCAUUCCUUCCUUCCUCUA